GGAGCAGGAAGCAGUAACUGAAAUAUAUACAACAUUAAUUCACUAAUACAGACACAUGUAAGAUUAUAAGAGUAGCACCAAAUAUAUUUCAGUUUAAGCAAAUAUAAAAACUUUAUCUAUAUCAGUACCAAAUAUUAAUUCGAAGAUUAAAUGGCAGCUUCAGUUGAACCAAUAGUUGCAGGAGGAGCAGGAAGCAGUAACUGAAAUACAUA
rnacentral:lncRNA from 1 species